rnacentral:rRNA from 1 species
AGCAGCCGCGGUAAUUCCAGCUCCAAUAGCGUAUAUUAAAGUUGCUGCAGUUAAAAGGCUCGUAGUUGAAUUUCGGGACCAUCAUGUCGGUCGUGCCUCGGUACGUACUGGCAUUGUUGGUUUCUCCCUUCUGACGAACCAUGAUGUCAUUUAUUUGGUGUUGUGGGGAAUCAGGACUGUUACUUUGAAAAAUUAGAGUGUUUAAAGCAGGCUCACGCUUGAAUACAUUAGCAUGGAAUAAUGAAAUAGGACGUUUGAUUCUAUUUUGUUGGUUUCUAGGAUCGACGUAAUGAUUAAUAGGGAUAGUUGGGGGCAUUAGUA